AGAUCUUCGGAUGGAUUUAAAACAGCUUAGUGGCGGACGGGUGAGUAACGCGUGGGUAACCUGCCUCACACUGGGGGAUAACAGUUAGAAAUAGCUGCUAAUACCGCAUAAGCGCACGGUUCCGCAUGGCUCAGAGAGAAAAACUCCGGUGGUAUGAGAUGGACCCGCGUCUGAUUAGCUAGUUGGUGGGGUAACGGCCUACCAAGGCGACGAUCAGUAGCCGACCUGAGAGGGUGAUCGGCCACAUUGGAACUGAGACACGGUCCAAACUCC
rnacentral:rRNA from 1 species